GUCGACCAUCCGGAGCCCCCUGGAGAUGCAUAAAGACCUCCCCGACCGAGUGGACAAACCCUAGCCGUCCAGUUCGUUCCCCUCGCGCCUCUCUGUUCAGAUUUAGAGCUCGCCCUGGUCUUGGUCGUCGUCGUCACCACGGCCACCCUCCACCUCAGCGCCUGAGAAGACGUCGAGGAGCUCCGCCCUCGCCGAAGGGCUCGAGCUAGGACACCUAGUACGCUCGGCAUCGGGCACAUCUUCAUCGGUACAUCGCCGGCGUCCAGCGUCGUUUGCCACGGCUCAGGUCCGUCCCCGGCCUCCCCGACCUCAUCAUCCAACUCGCGACCCCGAGACCGAUGUUGCCCUUGUGAUCGACUUCACAGCGGACAACACUGCCUUUGCCACCGAGCAACCAGGCAAGCCCCCCCUUUGGUCAUCCCGAUAUCGUCCAUUUCCUUUCUCUCAUGCUUGCAUUAUAUUUUGCUACUAUAAUUGUUUGCUCCUAUUCUGAUGCAUAGCCUGCUAAUCUAAUUUAUUUUGCUACUAUAAUUGCUUUUUAAAUUAUAAAAAAAUGCUAAUCUAAUUUAUUUAACUACCGAGCAAAUUGUGGCAGUAGCCUAUUUUAUAAUAAUAACUUAGGUUCAAGUUUUGUUUAUUAUGAAGCUAUUUUGUUUCAACAGAAAAGGAAAAAUAAAAGACUUAAAACCUACUGUACAUAUGGGCUCUAUGCAACUACAGUGCACGUCCCAAGCCCACCAUGGCCUUCUCCUUCUUCCUACUGUACAGGAGGAGGCAGCGCCCUGGCGUGGCCGCGCACACGGCUGUCCAUGCCACGGAUGUCGCCGUGUCGACCAUCCGGAGCCCCCUGGAGAUGCAUAAGGACCUCCCCGACGGAGUGGACAAACACUAGCCAUCCAGUUCAUUCCCCUCGCGCCUCUCUGUUCAGAUUUAGAGCUCGCCCUGGUCAUGGUCGUCAUCAUCACCGCAGCCACCGUCCACCUCACCGCCUCAGAAGACAUCGAGGAGCUCCGCCAUCGCUGUCUCUUUCACCCUCGCUGAAGGGCUCGAGCUAGGAUGCCCAGUACACUCGGCAUCAGGCACAUCUUCAUCGGUACAUCGCCGGCGUCUGACGUUGUUCGCCACGGCUCCGGUCCGUCCUCGGCCUCCCCGACCUCAUCAUCCAACUCGCGAUGUCGGAGCCCAGGAGCUAGAGGCCACCGUCGAUGCCUACUACUACAUGGAGACCGCUGACGACCAAGAGUAGUUAGGAGGCUCCCAGGCAGGAGGC